AGCGACUGACUUUCCUCUUGACAAAAAUAUGGAUGGCAGCUGUCUGGAUGGGCAAGGAAUUUUUUCUCAGUUUCGUACAGAAGUAAUAUCGACUCGAUAACAUGACCUGUAUCCAUGCCAUUUUGCUUCAUAAAGCCACUCCGUCAACUACCAGUAGUGUUGCUUUCUGUUCCAGUCACACGUGUAUCUGCACCUAAUAGGCUUGAUGCGAGGAAGUAUUUAUUUCGGAUGAUGUUGAAGGUGAUAACAAAAUUCGAGGGCAAGUAAGUUCGCUAUUUAGAUUAAUAAAACGGCAUAGAAUUCCGGAAAUCUCUUUUAAUUGGUUCGUCUAGAAAGUGUCUCGAGUCUGCCAAUCCGAAACAUAAUUAUUCUGAAAUAUUUAUUGAAAUAGAUGCACUCCUUUCAGCUACUUCCCGCCAUUUGAAUUACCGGAAUUGAAACAGGGUCAUAUGUGCUCCUGACUACAGGAUUCGAAGUCAUUGAACGCCUCAGAAUAGUCGGCAUGUGACAAACAUCUGCAUGUAAUUGUCACAAGGGAGCUACUGCAUGGCUGAAGAAGUUCCCGGUAAUCUAUACCAGCACAAAUGAUGCUGACAUGUUUUAAAUGGAGUGAUCACGACACAACGGAUAUCUGGUGCUAUUAACAAGUGUAUGUCGGAAUUUGAAUUCCUUGCGAAUGAAUCGUGAAUAGAGAUCCAGCAGGUUUAAUCGACAGUUUGAGCUUGGACUAAUAUUUCAAGCUUUACAAAAUCUUAUCUUUAGGACCGAAAAGUUAUCGAAACGUAUAAGCCAUCUGAAUGUGUAUUAAAAGCGCAAGUACUUUUUGAGCGACGAGUGUCGGAAUUAGGCUGAUUUCACAUGAAUAUUUUCGCACACAUUUUAACAAAUGAACAGAAAGAACAAAUGUUAAUUUGAAUGAUUUUUCUUGUAGUGAUAGUAGCAAGAGCUUCGAUAAUAUCACUUCAAGCAAAUUUACUUAUGCCAAGAAGAUUCUCGAUUUCUUAGUUUUUCCUCAAGUGAGAUAAAAUGACAUCAAUCAAAACCGAGACAAAAUCGCCUGCCAUUGAUACUAGAGCAGCGAGCUAUGCAGAGAAUAAAUCUGUCGUCUAUUUGAACAAAAUUUUAAUGUGGAAUGAACUCCUUUUCCUCUCCAGCAACAACUUCUUCUUUCUAUAUGUAGAAAGUAUCUGGAUGAUCAGGAAAGAACAUCACCAAUGCGAUAUUGAUGUUGACAUGUUUUGACCGAAGUGAUCAUGCCACAGCAUACAGCCUCUGAAGCUUCUAUUAAGCGUAAAUUGGAAUUCGGAGCCUUUGGUGUUAAUUAUGUUCGGAAAAACAACCUAUGCAGUUGGUUUGUAAAAUUAUGAAUAUGUAUAUUACCAAAAAUAAUUUACUUAAUGUAUAUUUACUAUCAGAAGCUAUAUCUGUAUAGUGGAAAUGUUAUUCAAAUGUAAUGGCCAUUAUUUGAGCAUAUCAAAACAUCUUUGAACUGUCACAUAGCAUUUUAAGAACAAGAUAGUAAAUGUUUUUACAUUUUCGAAAUGUGUUGAAGCUUGAAGUGCAUGGAAUAUCAUCCAAAACAAGCGUUUGACAUACCAAUCGAUAUUUCAUCUUAAAGUUGUGUAGAAAGUUUCGUAUACCUACUUAAAGCGAUUUCAAAAUAUUGCUCUGCAUUCAUUUCCUUCAAGAGUCGUGCUUGAUUUCUACUUCUUUGAGAAACAAGCAUUUUUAAAACAAUCGAGGUCGAUAAACAUGUUCUGUGUAGAUAAAUUAAAAUUUCUGGUAUAGUUGAUUUUCCUAGAAAUAAUCUAAAUCAAAUUUCCAACAAGACUGAAAGUUUAAUUCAUUAUUAUUUCUUCAAAAUGGGUAAAAUUCGCUUUGAAGUUGCUUUAGUAACCAUAAUUUCUUAUUGGAGCUCAACAAAUUGACAAACAGGACUUUCAUUGUCCCAGCAAUAAAAGGAGGAAUCGCGGCGACUUCCGCAGAACUGUCAUUUCUUUGAAAUAAGAACUCAAAUCAUUUCAUUUGCAUUGCGCUUUCUUCUAUUGUCAAUCACUGCAACCGUUUCAUGCUAUUAAGAUUUUUUAAGAUUACUUUUCAUCACCGAUUGCUGUAACGAAGUUUGAAAAAUUGAAUUUUAUUGUUACGAGUUGAUUAACUGUAGUUCACAUCAGCAUAAGUUUUCUGUAUACUUCUCAAUUUAUCAACAAAUGUUAUAAAAAUUGUAAUCCUUUGUUUUCAUUUUGAACUGAAUGUCUAUGCUCGUGAAAGCGAUUUCAUUAUCUUGCCCAUUGCUAGAACUUAACUUCAUUUUAUGAAAUGAGUCGUCAAAUAAUUGAAUACUUUUGAUAUAUUAAUUUGUGAACAGUUCUAGUAUGAAGAAAUGUUGCUAUUCAUAAGUAUCUUAUCAUUCGUUUUUGUAAUAUUGGUCUUAAUUAUGGUAAAAAGUUUCAUGCUUAAUUUUCGGUAGAUGGCCUCGAAAUCUCUAAAUUUUCUGUAACUCUAAUACAAUAAAAUUGAAAGAUUGAAAAGAUUUUACGCUUAAAUUUUAAAUUUGAUGUUUGACUGCUGGAGCUGAAAUUUUAAAGUGAUAAAAUACAAUAAAUUUUCCCCUUUUUUCCUCUGUUAAUUUUAACAUUCGAAAAUGUCGUAAAAUGCAUAGUAUUAAUUAUUUCUGAAUAGAAAUUUAAUAGUGCAUGGUGUCGAUAUUCGUUAAAUUUAAUUUUAAUCUUUUCCGAAAAUUUACCAUAGUCUGAGAAGGUAUAUAAAA